rnacentral:rRNA from 1 species
GAUGAACGCUGGCGGCGUGCUUAACACAUGCAAGUCGAACGAUGAAGCCCAGCUUGCUGGGUGGAUUAGUGGCGAACGGGUGAGUAACACGUGAGUAACCUGCCCUUAACUCUGGGAUAAGCCUGGGCAACUGGGUCUAAUACCGGAUAGGAGCGUCCACCGCAUGGUGGGUGUUGGAAAGAUUUAUCGGUUUUGGAUGGACUCGCGGCCUAUCAGCUUGUUGGUGAGGUAAUGGCUCACCAAGGCGACGACGGGUAGCCGGCCUGAGAGGGUGACCGGCCACACUGGGACUGAGAGACGGCCCAGACUCCUACGGGAGGCAGCAGUGGGGAAUAUUGCACAAUGGGCGCAAGCCUGAUGCAGCGACGCCGCGUGAGGGAUGACGGCCUUCGGGUUGUAAACCUCUUUCAGUAGGGAAGAAGCGAAAGUGACGGUACCUGCAGAAGAAGCACCGGCUAACUACGUG